rnacentral:rRNA from 1 species
CCUGGCUCAGGACGAACGCUGGCGGCGUGCUUAACACAUGCAAGUCGAACGGUGACGAGGAGCUUGCUCCUCCGAUCAGUGGCGAACGGGUGAGUAACACGUGAGUAACCUGCCCCAGACUCUGGGAUAACAGUUGGAAACAGCUGCUAAUACCGGAUACGAGACGGAGAGGCAUCUCUACCGUCUGGAAAGUUUUUCGGUCUGGGAUGGACUCGCGGCCUAUCAGCUUGUUGGUGAGGUAAUGGCUCACCAAGGCGACGACGGGUAGCCGGCCUGAGAGGGCGACCGGCCACACUGGGACUGAGACACGGCCCAGACUCCUACGGGAGGCAGCAGUGGGGAAUAUUGCACAAUGGGCGAAAGCCUGAUGCAGCGACGCCGCGUGAGGGAUGACGGCCUCGGUUGUAACUACUUCUAGCAGGAGAAG